UGGGGAAUAUUGCACAAUGGGCGCAAGCCUGAUGCAGCAACGCCGCGUGAACGAUGAAGGUUUUCGGAUCGUAAAGUUUUGUUGCAGGGGAAGAUAAUGACGUUACCCUGUGAGGAAGCCCCGGCUAACUACGUGCCAGCAGCCGCGUUAAUACGUAGGGGGCUAGCGUUAUCCGGAUUUACUGGGCGUAAAGGGUGCGUAGGUGGUCUUUCAAGUCGGUGGUUAAAGGCUACGGCUCAACCGUAGUUAGCCUCCGAAACUGGAAGACUUGAGUGCAGGAGAGGAAAGUGGAAAUCCCAGUGUAGCGGUGAAAUGCGUAGAUAUUGGGAGGAACACCAGUAGCGAAGGCGGCUUUCUGGACUGCAACUGACACUGAGGCACGAAAGCGUGGGUAGCAAAAAGG
rnacentral:rRNA from 1 species